rnacentral:rRNA from 1 species
GACGAACGCUGGCGGCGUGCUUAACACAUGCAAGUCGAACGCUGAAGGCCUGGCUUUUGUUGGGUUGGAUGAGUGGCGAACGGGUGAGUAACACGUGAGUAACCUGCCCUCUUCUUUGGGAUAACGCCCGGAAACGGGUGCUAAUACUGGAUAUUCACUGAUCUUCGCAUGGGGGUUGGUGGAAAGGUUUGUUCUGGUGGGGGAUGGGCUCGCGGCCUAUCAGCUUGUUGGUGGGGUGAUGGCCUACCAAGGCUUUGACGGGUAGCCGGCCUGAGAGGGUGACCGGUCACAUUGGGACUGGGAUACGGCCCAGACUCCUACGGGAGGCAGCAGUGGGGAAUAUUGCACAAUGGGCGAAAGCCUGAUGCAGCGACGCCGCGUGAGGGAUGGAGGCCUUCGGGUUGUAAACCUCUUUCGCUCAUGGUCAAGCCGCAACUGUGGGUUGUGGUGAAGGUAGUGGGUAAAGAAGCGCCGGCUAACUACGUG